rnacentral:tRNA from 1 species
GCGGGUGUGGUGGAAUUGGUAGACGCGCCGGACUCAAAAUCCGGUUCCGCAAGGAGUGUCGGUUCGAUCCCGACCACCCGCA